rnacentral:rRNA from 1 species
UGGGGAAUAUUGCACAAUGGGCGCAAGCCUGAUGCAGCCAUGCCGCGUGUAUGAAGAAGGCCUUCGGGUUGUAAAGUACUUUCAGCGGGGAGGAAGGUGUUGAGGUUAAUAACCUCAGCAAUUGACGUUACCCGCAGAAGAAGCACCGGCUAACUCCGUUCCAGCAGCCGCGGUAAUACGGAGGGUGCAAGCGUUAAUCGGAAUUACUGGGCGUAAAGCGCACGCAGGCGGUCUGUCAAGUCGGAUGUGAAAUCCCCGGGCUCAACCUGGGAACUGCAUUCGAAACUGGCAGGCUAGAGUCUUGUAGAGGGGGGUAGAAUUCCAGGUGUAGCGGUGAAAUGCGUAGAGAUCUGGAGGAAUACCGGUGGCGAAGGCGGCCCCCUGGACAAAGACUGACGCUCAGGUGCGAAAGCGUGGGGAGCAAACA